rnacentral:rRNA from 1 species
UACGGAGGGGGCAAGCGUUAUUCGGAAUCAUUGGGCGUAAAGGGCGCGUAGGCGGCUUUGCAAGUGACGGGUGAAAGCCCUCGGCUUAACCGAGGAACUGCCUGUCAGACUGUGAGGCUUGAGACCGGGAGAGGUGAGUGGAAUUCCCAGUGUAGCGGUGAAAUGCGUAGAUAUUGGGAGGAACACCAGUGGCGAAGGCGGCUCACUGGACCGGAACUGACGCUGAGGCGCGAAAGCGUGGGGAGCAAACAGG